GAUGAACGAUGGCGGCGUGCCUAAUACAUGCAAGUCGAGCGAACGGACGAGAAGCUUGCUUCUCUGAUGUUAGCGGCGGACGGGUGAGUAACACGUGGAUAACCUACCUAUAAGACUGGGAUAACUUCGGGAAACCGGAGCUAAUACCGGAUGAUAUUUUGAACCGCAUGGUUCAAAAGUGAAAGACGGUCUUGCUGUCACUUAUAGAUGGAUCCGCGCUGCAUUAGCUAGUUGGUAAGGUAACGGCUUACCAAGGCAACGAUGCAUAGCCGACCUGAGAGGGGGAUCGGCCACACGGGAACUGAGACACGGUCCAGACUCCGACGGGAGGCAGCAGUAGGGAAUCUUCCGCAAUGGGCGAAAGCCUGACGGAGCAACGCCGCGUGAGUGAUGAAGGUCUUCGGAUCGUAAAACUCUGUUAUUAGGGAAGAACAUAUGUGUAAGUAACUGUGCACAUCUUGACGGUACCUAAUCAGAAAGCCACGGCUAACUACGUG
rnacentral:rRNA from 1 species